AGUGAACGCUGGCGGUAGGCCUAACACAUGCCAGCCGAACGGCAGCACAGUAAGAGCUUGCUCUUACGGGUGGCGAGUGGCGGACGGGUGAGGAAUACAUCGGAAUCUACUUUUUCGUGGGGGAUAACGUAGGGAAACUUACGCUAAUACCGCAUACGACCUACGGGUGAAAGCAGGGGAUCUUCGGACCUUGCGCGAUUGAAUGAGCCGAUGUCGGAUUAGCUAGUUGGCGGGGUAAAGGCCCACCAAGGCGACGAUCCGUAGCUGGUCUGAGAGGAUGAUCAGCCACACUGGAACUGAGACACGGUCCAGACUCCUACGGGAGGCAGCAGUGGGGAAUAUUGGACAAUGGGCGCAAGCCUGAUCCAGCCAUACCGCGUGGGUGAAGAAGGCCUUCGGGUUGUAAAGCCCUUUUGUUGGGAAAGAAAAGCAGCAGGUUAAUACCCCGCUGUUCUGACGGUACCCAAAGAAUAAGCACCGGCUAACUUCGUG
rnacentral:rRNA from 1 species